rnacentral:SRP_RNA from 1 species
UGCAGCCGGGGAGAUAGCGGUGCCCUGUACCUGCAAUCCGCUACAGCAGGGGUGAUGCCGAACCGAGGGCAGGCUUGUUGUGGAGCUGCCUCAUACAAGUGGUGUUGAAGUCCGGGUCUUACGCAGCAGGAAUUCCCGAACCGUGUCAGGGCAGGAAUGCAGCAGCACUAAGAGAAACCUCCUGGGUGACGUAAGGGUGCCUGGGCCGAGCUAACUGUAUGAGUAACGUCCAUGGCAGCUGUUCGAAGGGGUGCGCAC